rnacentral:rRNA from 1 species
GACGAACGCUGGCGGCGUGCCUAAUACAUGCAAGUCGAGCGAGCUUGCCUAGAUGAAUUUGGUGCUUGCACCAGAUGAAACUAGAUACAAGCGAGCGGCGGACGGGUGAGUAACACGUGGGUAACCUGCCCAAGAGACUGGGAUAACACCUGGAAACAGAUGCUAAUACCGGAUAACAACACUAGACGCAUGUCUAGAGUUUAAAAGAUGGUUCUGCUAUCACUCUUGGAUGGACCUGCGGUGCAUUAGCUAGUUGGUAAGGUAACGGCUUACCAAGGCAAUGAUGCAUAGCCGAGUUGAGAGACUGAUCGGCCACAUUGGGACUGAGACACGGCCCAAACUCCUACGGGAGGCAGCAGUAGGGAAUCUUCCACAAUGGACGCAAGUCUGAUGGAGCAACGCCGCGUGAGUGAAGAAGGGUUUCGGCUCGUAAAGCUCUGUUGGUAGUGAAGAAAGAUAGAGGUAGUAACUGGCCUUUAUUUGACGGUAAUUACUUAGAAAGUCACGGCUAACUACGUGCCAGCAGCCGCGGUAAUACGUAGGUGGCAAGCGUUGUCCGGAUUUAUUGGGCGUAAAGCGAGUGCAGGCGGCUCAAUAAGUCUGAUGUGAAAGCCUUCGGCUCAACCGGAGAAUUGCAUCAGAAACUGUUGAACUUGAGUGCAGAAGAGGAGAGUGGAACUCCAUGUGUAGCGGUGGAAUGCGUAGAUAUAUGGAAGAACACCAGUGGCGAAGGCGGCUCUCUGGUCUGCAACUGACGCUGAGGCUCGAAAGCAUGGGUAGCGAACAGG